UGCGUAGGGUGCGAGCGUUGUCCGGAAUUAUUGGGCGUAAAGAGCUCGUAGGCGGUCUGUCGCGUCUGCUGUGAAAACCCGAGGCUCAACCUCGGGCCUGCAGUGGGUACGGGCAGACUAGAGUGCGGUAGGGGAGACUGGAAUUCCUGGUGUAGCGGUGAAAUGCGCAGAUAUCAGGAGGAACACCGGUGGCGAAGGCGGGUCUCUGGGCCGAUACUGACGCUGAGGAGCGAAAGCGUGGGGAGCGAACAGG
rnacentral:rRNA from 1 species